AAGUCGAACGCCCCGCAAGGGGAGUGGCAGACGGGUGAGUAACGCGUGGGAAUCUACCGUGCCCUACGGAACAACAGUUGGAAACGACUGCUAAUACCGUAUACGCCCUACGGGGGAAAGAUUUAUCGGGGUAUGAUGAGCCCGCGUUGGAUUAGCUAGUUGGUGGGGUAAAGGCCUACCAAGGCGACGAUCCAUAGCUGGUCUGAGAGGAUGAUCAGCCACAUUGGGACUGAGACACGGCCCAAACUCCUACGGGAGGCAGCAGUGGGGAAUAUUGGACAAUGGGCGCAAGCCUGAUCCAGCCAUGCCGCGUGAGUGAUGAAGGUCUUAGGAUUGUAAAGCUCUUUCACCGGAGAAGAUAAUGACGGUAUCCGGAGAAGAAGCCCCGGCUAACUUCGUGCCAGCAGCCGCGGUAAUACGAAGGGGGCUAGCGUUGUUCGGAAUUACUGGGCGUAAAGCGCACGUAGGCGGAUAUUUAAGUCAGGGGUGAAAUCCCAGAGCUCAACUCUGGAACUGCCUUUGAUACUGGGUAUCUUGAGUAUGGAAGAGGUGAGUGGAAU
rnacentral:rRNA from 1 species